AGAUCGGUCUGUCUCUCUCUCAAAUUUAUCCCACCAAAAUUCUAGCUUUUCUCAUCCACAAUUUUCGGUUUUUCAUUUUGCCAAAGAUAUAUAUAUAUAUAUAUAUAUAUAUAUAUGUUAUGUGUAGAAAAUGUGUAACUCAUAUAUUUGUGGGGCAUGAGGAGGUAGUGAAUACCGAUCCAGAUUGUGGGUUUGAACUCUUAUCGACAACUUGAUUUUUUCAAGGGUUUUGAUUUUUCGGGAAUUCAAGUGUUGCUGAAUUUUGAGGUGGGUGUUUUUUUGGGAUUUUUUGGAGGUUGAGUUUCUUGCAUGCAGUCCGGGGCUAGGGGGCAGCAAGGAGGUGGGAGAGGAGGGCAUGGGCCGAAGAUGGUGGCAUCUGCUUCUGCUUCGCCGUCCUCUUCCUCAUCAGCUGUGUCGGCUCCGUACCUAGCAUUUGAUCAGCAGCAGCAGCAACAACAGCAAAGACAGACAUCUUUGUUGUUGGAAGGAAAAGAUAAGUUCUUCCGAUCGAGGGCUUCAUGGAAUUGACAAGCCAAGCAGUCACCAUCGAGUUCUCCGACUUCCAUUUUUGAUGAAGAGCAGCGUUGGUUGAGGCCGGCAUCUUGGUCUCUCUGGUUAGGACCUAUCAUCGGGGAAGACGAUUGGCAGUGCUAAGGAGUGUGAGGGAUUCUACUACUUUGACGAGGCUAAAGUGAGUAAACGACGUCAAUUUGCUAGUUGUGAUUCUGCUUUUAUUCCCAAGGAUAGUGAACUACUUUUAUGGCAUUAUAGAAUAGGGCAUCCCAGUUUUCAAUAUUUAAGACAUGUAUUUCCUUCACCGUUCUCAAAUAAAAUAUCUUCUGAUCUUUUUUUGCGAAAGUUGUGAACUCAAAAAACAUCAUCGUUCUUCAUUUCCAAAAUCUGUGUACAAACCAUCUCGACCAUUUAGUAUGAUUCAAAGUGACUUAUGGGGACCCUCAUGAACCCCCAACCGCGCUCACACAAAAUGGUUUGUCACAUUUAUCGAUGAACAUACUCGAAUCUGUUGGGUCUAUAUGUUAAAAGAAAAAAUCGAGGUCCGUUCAGUGUUCAUAAAUUUUCAUGCAAUGAUUCAAAAUCAACUGCAGACAAAAAUUCAGAUUCUGCUGAUAGAUAACGACACAAAAAUUUCAAUAAUACCCUAAAAUCCUAUUUCCAAGAAAAUGGAAUAGUCCACCAAAGUUCUUGUGUCAACACCCCACAACAAAAUGGAGUCGUUAAAUGAAAAAAUAGACACCUACUCGAAGUAGCUCGGGCACUGACGUUCACCACAAAUGUGAACAAUACUUUGUAGGGUGAUGCAAUUCUAACAUCAGCAUACCUCAUAAACAGAAUGCUUAGCCUCACCCUCAACUUUGAAACUCCUCUCCAAAAGCUCCAAACAUUCUUCCCUAACUCUCGCAUGAGCUCCAACUUACCCUUAAAAGUGUUAGGAUGUACAACCUUUGUACAUAUACAUCCUCAUCAUCGAAAUAAACUCGAACCUCGUGCAGUUAAGUGUGUUUUUAUUGGGUACUCACCUACACAAAAGGGGUAUAAGUGCUAUGAUCCUAUCACCAAAAAAGUAUUCGUGAGUCUUGAUGUCACUUUCUUUGAAACUCUUUCAUAUUUUCCAAAAACCUCUCUUCAAGGAGAGAACAUAGGUAAAGAUCGGUUCUUGAAAAUCUCUGUUAAUUCCUCUGAAUCCAUCACUGAACAUACAACACCACUUUGCCUCGACAUGUCAUUGACAGAAGGAGACUUAAACUCAGGGGGAGAGCAGAAAGAACAGCAUGGCAAAGAGACAAUAGUUUACUCAAGAAGGCCAAAAUUAAAGAAUGACCUCACACUCGAAGCACUAAAAGAGUCGGAACCAGUG